AUUCAGCUGACAAGUCCGAAAUAGGACGAAACGUGUGUCAAACUGGAU
rnacentral:hammerhead_ribozyme from 1 species